GGCUUCGUAGCUUAGCUGGUAGUGCGCUUGCCGCGUAGAGGCAUGGUGUUUCUGUCGCUGGUUCGAAUCCAGCCGAAGCCC
rnacentral:tRNA from 1 species